AGCGAACGCUGGCGGCAGGCCUAACACAUGCCAGUCGAACGAACUCUUCGGAGUUAGUGGCGGACGGGUGAGUAACACGUGGGAACGUGCCUUUUGGUUCGGAAUAACUCAGGGAAACUUGUGCUAAUACCGAAUGUGCCCUUCGGGGGAAAGAUUUAUCGCCAUUAGAGCGGCCCGCGUCUGAUUAGCUAGUUGGUGAGGUAACGGCUCACCAAGGCGACGAUCAGUAGCUGGUCUGAGAGGAUGACCAGCCACACUGGGACUGAGACACGGCCCAGACUCCUACGGGAGGCAGGAGUGGGGAAUCUUGCGCAAUGGGCGAAAGCCUGACGCAGCCAUGCCGCGUGAAUGAUGAAGGUCUUAGGAUUGUAAAAUUCUUUCACCGGGGACGAUAAUGACGGUACCCGGAGAAGAAGCCCCGGCUAACUUCGUG
rnacentral:rRNA from 1 species